GAAAAACUGCAUUCAGAGGUUACGAGUGUGGUGGUGGGUUACCUCCCAGGAGCAGAUGACUGGCAUGGUUAGUGAUCACUAGGCCAUGAAUCUCAUGGAUCCCAUGAUACAGGUAUCUGGUCCAGAUCCGACGGAGACAAGCAAAAUCGUGCUGCUGCUUCUUCUUUCGAUUGAAAAUCCAGGUGAAAACUUUCAAGAACUCAGGACGACGCGCAUUGAUUAUAUUUCAUUGUGAUGGCCAUUGCCGACACAGCUACUAUGGGUACAAGAAACUUCUAUUUCGCUCGUCACCGGAGACCACCGCCCAGAUCCAUCUCUUCUCAACCAUGCUGACGUGGUUGUCAGGGGCGCUUACAACUUGUGAGGGCCUGCGUUCUUGCUGUUGAUCCAUGAUGGCAUGGCCUCCCCGCGCCCUAGCCGCGUUCUAGCUGAUGGUUUGGGUCUGCCAGCGAAGGGGGAGGGGGACGACCUCUGUCGCUCCUUCUCUCGAGCCUCUUCAUCUUGAUGAAGCCGUAGGAGUAGAGGGGCACGCACGUGAUGGAUCUGCUCCGAGCACUUCAAGCCAC